rnacentral:tRNA from 1 species
GCUGUUAAACAAACAUUUAGCUUUUCACGCUAAAAAUUCUACCACUUUUAGAUAACAGUA